UUGGAGGGCAAGUCUGGUGCCAGCAGCCGCGGUAAUUCCAGCUCCAAUAGCGUAUAUUAAAGUUGUUGCAGUUAAAAAGCUCGUAGUUGAAUUUCGGGGUUAGUAAGUUGGUCAUGCCUUCGGUAUGUACUGGCUUUACUGAUUCCUCCUUCUUGACGAACCGUGAUGUCAUUAAUUUGGUGUUGCGGGAAAUCAGGACUGUUACUUUGAAAAAAUUAGAGUGUUUAAAGCAGGCUAACGCUUGAAUACAUUAGCAUGGAAUAAUGAAAUAGGACGUUAAUCCUAUUUUGUUGGUUUCUAGGAUCGACGUAAUGAUUAAUAGGGAUAGUUGGGGGCAUUAGUAUUCAAUUGUCAGAGGUGAAAUUCUUGGAUUUAUUGAAGACUAACUACUGCGAAAGCAUUUGCCAAGGAUGUUUUCAUUAAUCAAGAACGAAAGUUAGGGGAUCGAAGACGAUCAGAUACCGUCGUAGUCUUAACCAUAAACUAUGCCGACUAGGGAUCGGAUGAUGUUAUCUUAAUGACUCAUUCGGCGCCUUACGGGAAAC
rnacentral:rRNA from 1 species